rnacentral:lncRNA from 1 species
GAGUUUUGUCUAGCGACAAAAUCAAAUUUUAUUUGCACAAUCGAUGCGUCAAUCUGGUCAUCUCUUCUAGCUGGCAGAUCAGAAAUGUUCAGGCAAACGGCGGUUAUAUUUGUAUGUGGACCCAAUACUUCAUUGACGGGGAAAUACGGAACACUGCAACAAGGACUGGUGUGGAUAGCAUGCUGCCCUGGUCUCGCCAACUGAAAAGAAUUCUGGUAAGACGCAUGCUUGGUUACAAAAGUAUCACGCAAUCACUUUUCACAUUGAAUUUGGUCGCAGGUGUGCUGUAAAUGCCGACUGCACAAUAUGUGACUGGCCCGCGGCCGCUUUGAAGUCUUUCCCGACAGAAGGACAAUGCAAGUUUCACAUCUCGAUGAGGGUGGCGAUUUACCGUCUCACAUCUCAAAGGUAAAACGUCGCAUCUGCGCACGUGUUCAGGGCCAAGAGCA